rnacentral:lncRNA from 1 species
GUCCUGCUCCUAAUGUCUUCAGAAAGUGGGAUAUUGAGGCCCUGGAGCCAGACGAAGACAGCAACGCUGAGUUCGUUGCGGAGAACGAGAAAAAGGAAACAGAGUCUUGUUUGUCCCUGCUGGAAUGCAUGUUACCCGGUGCCUGUGCGUCCACCCAGCGUGACUGCCCUCCGUCCACUCUGACAGCUACCUGGAGGCCGAUGGAAAGAGCACUGGCUCAGAGGACAUAAAAGGCUCUGACCAGAAGGCAGCCACUGACCACAGGAAUCGAAAAUCGACUAAGGAGGUCUGACCCAGCAAUAACUCCCUCGCACUGGCUCAUACUGGGAACUUUGGAGCGUGAA